AGUCUGGUGCCAGCAGCCGCGGUAAUUCCAGCUCCAAUAGCGUAUAUUAAAGUUGUUGCGUCUAAAAAGCUCGUAGUUUGAAAACUUGCCUUGGCUUACAACAGACGUCUAAGGGCGUCACCGUUUGUCGAGAGCAAAUAUGGGUGACUGUUCUUGCCUUCUUCUCUGAUUGGCUCGUAAAAGUCAUCGAAGAUCACUUUGAUUAAAUUAGGGUGCUCAAAGCAAGUGUGCUACUUGAAUAUGAAUGCAUGGAAUGAUGGAAUAUGUUGUUGUUCUAUUUGUUGGUUUUUUGAAUGACGAAAUGAUUGAAAGGAACUGUUGGGGGCAUUCGUAUUGUUGUGAGAGAGGUGAAAUUCUUAGACCAUAGCAAGACGAACUACUGCGAAAGCAUUUGCCAAGAAUGUUUUCAUUGAUCAAGAACGAAAGUUAGAGGUUCGAAGGCGAUCAGAUACCGCCCUAGUUCUAACCAUAAACUAUGCCGACUAGCAAUUUGCUUUGUAUUUUUAUGACUAAGUGAGAGGCCACGGGAAACCAAAGUAGGGUUAUGGGGGAAGUAUGGUUGCAAAGCUGAAACUUAAAGGAAUUGACGGAAGGGCACCACCAGGAGUGGAGCCUGCGGCUUAAUUUGACCCAACACGGGAAAACUUACCUGGUCCUGACACUAGAAGGAUUGACAGAUUGAUAGCUCUUUCUUGAUUUGGUGGAUGGUGGUGCAUGGCCGUUCUUAGUUGGUGGAGUGAUUUGUCUGGUUAAUUCCGAUAACGAACGAGACUCUAGCCUAUUAAAUAAUAUGCGGAAUCAAUUUCUCCCGCGUUAUUUCUUAAUGGGAUCAAGCGUGUUUAACGCUUUGAAACAGAGCAAUAACAGGUCUGUGAUGCCCUUAGAUGUUCGGGGCUGCACGCGCGCUACAUUGAAGAACAAAGUGAGCCCUCUGGCUUUUAACAAAGCUAGAAAUCUUUUAAUGUUCUUCUUAAUGGGGAUAGGGGAUUGCAAUUGUGCCCCUUGAACGAGGAAUUCCCAGUAAGUGCUAGUCAUUAGCUAGUACUGAUUACGUCCCUGCCCUUUGUACACACCGCCCGUCGCUACUACCGAUUGAAUAGUUUAGUGAGAUCAUCUGAGUGUUUGUAUGUGCAUUCUGUGCUUGUAUGGUGUACGAAGAAGAUCAAACUUGAUUAUUUAGAGGAAGUAAAAGUC
rnacentral:rRNA from 1 species